rnacentral:rRNA from 1 species
GAUGAACGCUAGCUACAGGCUUAACACAUGCAAGUCGAGGGGCAGCAUGAACUUAGCUUGCUAAGUUUGAUGGCGACCGGCGCACGGGUGAGUAACACGUAUCCAACCUGCCGAUGACUCGGGGAUAGCCUUUCGAAAGAAAGAUUAAUACCCGAUGGCAUAGUUCUUCCGCAUGGUAGAACUAUUAAAGAAUUUCGAUCAUCGAUGGGGAUGCGUUCCAUUAGGUUGUUGGCGGGGUAACGGCCCACCAAGCCUUCGAUGGAUAGGGGUUCUGAGAGGAAGGUCCCCCACAUUGGAACUGAGACACGGUCCAAACUCCUACGGGAGGCAGCAGUGAGGAAGACUGGGCAAUGGACGAGAGUCUGAACCAGCCAAGUAGCGUGAAGGAUGACUGCCCUAUGGGUUGUAAACUUCUUUUAUACGGGAAUAAAGUGAGGCACGUGUGCCUUUUUGUAUGUACCGUAUGAAUAAGGAUCGGCUAACUCCGUG